rnacentral:rRNA from 1 species
GAUGAACGCUGGCGGCGUGCCUAAUACAUGCAAGUCGAGCGAACAGACGAGGAGCUUGCUCCUCUGACGUUAGCGGCGGACGGGUGAGUAACACGUGGAUAACCUACCUAUAAGACUGGGAUAACUUCGGGAAACCGGAGCUAAUACCGGAUAAUAUAUUGAACCGCAUGGUUCAAUAGUGAAAGACGGUUUUGCUGUCACUUAUAGAUGGAUCCGCGCCGCAUUAGCUAGUUGGUAAGGUAACGGCUUACCAAGGCAACGAUGCGUAGCCGACCUGAGAGGGUGAACGGCCACACUGGAACUGAGACACGGUACAGAGUCCUACGGGAGGCAGCAGCAGGGAAUCUUCCGAGAUGGGCGAAAGAUUGACGGAGCAACGCCGCGUGAGUGAUGAAGGUCUUCGGAUCGUAAAACGCUGUUAUUAGGGAAGAACAAAUGUGUAAGUAACUAUGCACGUCUUGACGGUACCUAAACAGAAAGCCACGGCUAACUACGU